ACGGGUGACAGGUGGUGCAUGGUUGUCGUCAGCUCGUGUCGUGAGAUGUUGGGUUAAGCCCCGCAACGAGCGCAACCCCUAUUGUUAGUUGCCAUCAUUCAGUUGGGCACUCUAGCGAGACUGCCGGUAAUAAACCGGAGGAAGGUGGGGAUGACGUCAAAUCAUCAUGCCCCUUAUGACCUGGGCUACACACGUGCUACAAUGGUUGGUACAACGAGUUGCGAGUCGGUGACGGCGAGCUAAUCUCUUAAAGCCAAUCUCAGUUCGGAUUGUAGGCUGCAACUCGCCUACAUGAAGUCGGAAUCGCUAGUAAUCGCGGAUCAGCACGCCGCGGUGAAUACGUUCCCGGGCCUU
rnacentral:rRNA from 1 species